ACAGGGUGACAGGUGGUGCAUGGUUGUCGUCAGCUCGUGUCGUGAGAUGUUGGGUUAAGUCCCGCAACGAGCGCAACCCUCGACCUUAGUUGCCAGCAUUCAGUUGGGCACUCUAAGGUGACUGCCGGACUAAAGUCGGAGGAAGGUGGGGAUGACGUCAAAUCAUCAUGCCCCUUAUGACCUGGGCUACACACGUGCUACAAUGGGCGGUACAAAGGGUCGCGAACCCGCGAGGGGGAGCCAAUCCCAAAAAGCCGCUCUCAGUUCGGAUUGCAGGCUGCAACUCGCCUGCAUGAAGCCGGAAUCGCUAGUAAUCGCGGAUCAGCAUGCCGCGGUCGAAUACGUUCCCGGGCCUU
rnacentral:rRNA from 1 species